rnacentral:rRNA from 1 species
AUUGAACGCUGGCGGCAUGCUUUACACAUGCAAGUCGAACGGCAGCGCGGGCUUCGGCCUGGCUGCGAGUGGCGAACGGGUGAGUAAUGCAUCGGAACGUGCCCAGUAGUGGGGGAUAGCCCGGCGAAAGCCGGAUUAAUACCGCAUACGACCUGAGGGUGAAAGCGGGGGACCGAAAGGCCUCGCGCUCUUUGAGCGGCCGAUGUCGGAUUAGCUAGUUGGUGGGGUAAAGGCUUACCAAGGCGACGAUCCGUAGCUGGUCUGAGAGGACGACCAGCCACACUGGGACUGAGACACGGCCCAGACUCCUACGGGAGGCAGCAGUGGGGAAUUUUGGACAAUGGGGGCAACCCUGAUCCAGCCAUGCCGCGUGCGGGAAGAAGGCCUUCGGGUUGUAAACCGCUUUUGUUCGGGAAGAAAUCCUCUGGGCUAAUACCCCGGGGGGAUGACGGUACCGGAAGAAUAAGCACCGGCUAACUACGUG